UACGUAUGGUGCAAGCGUUAUCCGGAUUUACUGGGUGUAAAGGGAGCGUAGGCGGCGCGUUAAGUCUGAUGUGAAAACCCGAGGCUCAACCACGGGAGUGCAUUGGAAACUGGCGGGCUGGAGUGCCGGAGAGGUAAGCGGAAUUCCUAGUGUAGCGGUGAAAUGCGUAGAUAUUAGGAGGAACACCAGUGGCGAGGGCGGCUUACUGGACGGCAACUGACGCUGAGGCUCGAAAGCGUGGGGAGCAAACAGG
rnacentral:rRNA from 1 species